rnacentral:rRNA from 2 species
AGAGUUUGAUCCUGGCUCAGAGGACGCUAGCGGAGCCUACCCAUGCCAACCGAGCGGUAGAGAUCUUUCGGAUCUGAGAGCGGCGUACCGGUGCGGAAACACGUGUGCAACCUGCCUUUAUCUGGGGGAUAGCCUUUCGAAAGGAAGAUUAAUACCCCAUAAUAUACUGAAUGGCAUCAUUCGGUAUUGAAAACUCCGGUGGAUAGAGAUGGGCACGCGCAAGAUUAGAUAGUUGGUGAGGUAACGGCUCACCAAGUCUGCGAUCUUUAGGGGGCCUGAGAGGGUGAUCCCCCACACUGGUACUGAGACACGGACCAGACUCCUACGGGAGGCAGCAGUGAGGAAUAUUGGACAAUGGGUGAGAGCCUGAUCCAGCCAUCCCGCGUGAAGGACGACGGCCCUAUGGGUUGUAAACUUCUUUUGUAUAGGGAUAAACCUACCCUCGUGAGGGUAGCA